GGGGUAGCAAUACCUGCCGGCGACCGGCAAACGGGUGCGGAACACGUACACAACCUUCCUUUAAGUGGGGGAUAGCCCAGAGAAAUUUGGAUUAAUACCCCGUAACAUGGUUGAAUGGCAUCAUUUAACCAUUAAAGCUCCGGCGCUUGGAGAUGGGUGUGCAGCUGAUUAGGUAGUUGGUGCGGGUAACGGCCCACCAAGCCAACGAUCAGUAACUGGUGUGAGAGCACGACCAGUCACACGGGCACUGAGACACGGGCCCGACUCCUACGGGAGGCAGCAGUAAGGAAUAUUGGUCAAUGGACGCAAGUCUGAACCAGCCAUGCCGCGUGGAGGAUGAAGGUCCUCUGGAUUGUAAACUUCUUUUAUCUGGGAAGAAAUGCCAGAAUUCUUUUUGGUUUGACGGUACCAGAUGAAUAAGCACCGGCUAACUCCGUGCCAGCAGCCGCGGUAAUACGGAGGGUGCAAGCGUUAUCCGGAUUCACUGGGUUUAAAGGGUGCGUAGGUGGGCAGUUAAGUCAGUGGUGAAAUCUCCGGGCUUAACCCGGAAACUGCCAUUGAUACUAUCUGUCUUGAAUACCGUGGAGGUGAGCGGAAUAUGUCAUGUAGCGGUGAAAUGCUUAGAUAUGACAUAGAACACCAAUUGCGAAGGCAGCUCACUACACGUACUAUUGACACUGAGGCACGAAAGCGUGGGGAUCAAACAGGAUUAGAUACCCUGGUAGUCCACGCCCUAAACGAUGGAUACUCGACAUACGCGAUACACAGUGUGUGUCUGAGCGAAAGCAUUAAGUAU
rnacentral:rRNA from 1 species